AUUAUACUCCCUCCGUCCGAAAAUACUUGUCAUCAAAAUGGACAAAAAGGGAUGUAUCUAAACUAAAAUACAUCUAGAUACAUCUGUUUUAUCCAUUUUGAUGACAAGUAUUUCCGGACAGAGGGAGUAUAUA
rnacentral:pre_miRNA from 1 species